rnacentral:tRNA from 1 species
AGAAUAAUAGUUAAAUAAUAAUUUUUAAUUUGCAUUUAAAAGUUUUAUAUAUAAUUAUAUAGUUAUUUUA